rnacentral:rRNA from 1 species
UACAGAGGGGGCAAGCGUUGUCCGGAAUUACUGGGCGUACAGCGCGCGCAGGCGGACCGCCACGUGCCGUGUGACAAGCCACUGCUCAACAGUGGAGGGCCAGGGUACACGAGCGGUCUGGAGGCAGGGAGAGGGAUGUGGAAUGCCCGGUGGAGCGGUGAAAUGCGUAGAGAUCGGGCGGAACACCAGCGGCGAAGGCGGCAUCCUGGACCGGCAUUGACGCUGAUGAGCGAAAGCUAGGGGAGCAAACGGG